rnacentral:tRNA from 2 species
GCCCCUAUAGCUCAGUUGGUAGAGCAUCUGAUUUGUAAUCAGAGGGUCGGGAGUUCGAGUCUCUCUGGGGGCACCA